AUUGAACGCUGGCGGCAUGCUUUACACAUGCAAGUCGAACGGCAGCGCGGGCUUCGGCCUGGCGGCGAGUGGCGAACGGGUGAGUAAUACAUCGGAACGUGCCCAGUAGUGGGGGAUAGCUCGGCGAAAGCCGGAUUAAUACCGCAUACGACCUGAGGGUGAAAGCGGGGGAUCUUCGGACCUCGCGCUAUUUGAGCGGCCGAUGGCAGAUUAGCUAGUUGGUGGGGUAAAGGCCUACCAAGGCGACGAUCUGUAGCUGGUCUGAGAGGACGACCAGCCACACUGGGAGUGAGACACGGCCCAGACUCCUACGGGAGGCAGCAGUGGGGAAUUUUGGACAAUGGGCGAAAGCCUGAUCCAGCAAUGCCGCGUGUGGGAUGAAGGCCUUCGGGUUGUAAAGCACUUUUGGCGGGAACGAAAAGGACUGUGCCAAUACCACGGUUCGAUGACGGUACCCGCAGAAUAAGCACCGGCUAACUACGUG
rnacentral:rRNA from 1 species